UCCUACGGGAGGCAGCAGUGGGGAAUUUUGGACAAUGGGCGCAAGCCUGAUCCAGCCAUGCCGCGUGCAGGAUGAAGGCCUUCGGGUUGUAAACUGCUUUUGUACGGAACGAAAAGACUCCUUCUAAUAAAGGGGGUCCAUGACGGUACCGUAAGAAUAAGCACCGGCUAACUACGUGCCAGCAGCCGCGGUAAUACGUAGGGUGCGAGCGUUAAUCGGAAUUACUGGGCGUAAAGCGUGCGCAGGCGGUUAUAUAAGACAGAUGUGAAAUCCCCGGGCUCAACCUGGGAACUGCAUUUGUGACUGUAUAGCUAGAGUACGGUAGAGGGGGAUGGAAUUCCGCGUGUAGCAGUGAAAUGCGUAGAUAUGCGGAGGAACACCGAUGGCGAAGGCAAUCCCCUGGACCUGUACUGACGCUCAUGCACGAAAGCGUGGGGAGCAAACAGGAUUAGAUACCCUGGUAGUCCACGCCCUAAACGAUGUCAACUGGUUGUUGGGUCUUCACUGACUCAGUAACGAAGCUAACGCGUGAAGUUGACCGCCUGGGGAGUACGGCCGCAAGGUUGAAACUCAAA
rnacentral:rRNA from 1 species